rnacentral:rRNA from 1 species
UUAUGGGAAGAGGGAAAGAAAGAUCAGGGGAAGAAGCGGGGUAGAGGAAUUGGUCAACUCAUCAGGCUCAUGACCUGAAGACUGUAGGUUCGAAUCAGGGCGCGCGCUACGGCUUUGACCUAACGGCCUCCGUUUGCUGGAAUCGGAAUAGUUGAGAACAAAGUGGCGAACGGGUGCGUAACACGUGGGAAUGGGGGCCUGCACAGGCGGUGGAGCAUGUGGUUUAAUUCGAUACAAUGCGCAAACCUUACUAGCCCUUGACAU